CUGCAAUAUCCCCACAAGGGCCUGACUGAGCGAGCGAGCAUGGACGGCCGCGGGGCUUUCUGGACAGUGGCCAUUCCCAGAGCCAGGCAGGAAGGCCUCGGGAGGCUGGGGCUCCCGUUCCCGGUGAAGCGGACGCCGCCAGCGCCCCAGAACCCAGGAGGAAGCACACAGGCCCCACAGAGAGUGGUUGGCAAGAGUCACUCGGGGAUUAGGAUGCCGGCCAAAUCGCGGAAUUUGAGGCUGGAAUCCAAGCUCAACAGGAAAGUAGUGAAAUACAAAUGGGGAAAACAGGGCUCUGGAGCGGGGAGGGAGCUGGUGCCGGCAUUUCCCACCAACGCCGGUUUAGGAAGACGGGACCGAUGCCGGCCGCCCCCUGCUGGAGGGGAUGUGGCAUCUCACGGGCUGCCAGGGAGCGGGGUUGGCUACUCCUGCAACCAGCGUGAAGAGGGUCUCAGGGGAGGCUGUGGUGGGAUCCCCCACGUGCCCUUGUUCCUCUCACCGUUACCUCUGGAUGCCUCGGGGCAAAGGCCUUCUUCCACCUAUAGACAGAGUCUACGCAGGGGUCUUGGAACCCGGGCACACCAGUCCCCAGCUAACGAAAUCCCCGAGUUGGGGGAUUUGAGAGGGUCACGUUUGGCCCAAGAACCCGCAGUCCUCUUUGGUCUUCGGCCCUCUAUUUCUAAGCGUGGGCUUCUGGCACGGCGGCUCUGGGCACAGCCCAUGCUGCUUUCGGGCUGGGUGGUUUCAACGACGACAACAAUUAUCACAGUGACGGUGACCUUCACCCCAACAGGACUGCUGUGUGUGAAGCACUCAAGAGGGCCCCUACAACCAACCUGCCAGGAGUCGGCUCCUGAAAACAGGGUCGGAAAAGGGGUCUGGCACUCUUCCUCAUGCUUACGAGAUGGCUGCUGGAAUUCCAGGAAUCACAUGCAAAUUCUAGUCAGGAGCAAAGAGGAAGAGACACAGUGAAAAGGGGUAUACAGCGGCAGAAGGAAGCUCCUCAAAUGAACUCUGCUAGAACUCUAGCCAGUAGCUUCUCCUUCUAUCACAGUGGCCAGAACUGUGACAAGUGACCAUCCUUAGGGGAAAAAAGAUGCUGAGAAAUGUGAAUUUUGUUGCCACCUUACAUUUUCAAAGGAGUUCCAUUCGUAAGUACAGAACGCUCAGAGAAGAGGCAGCAGAUCUAGGAUAUGGAGCAGCAGCUCUUAAGGGCACAGUGGGAAGGUUUCAAGACUGAGGAGGAUCUUGGAUUUGGGUAGGGGAAGGCAGUUCACAGUAUUGUGGAGGAAAUGCUGUGAAAGAGAAAGUGGAAGGCAUGGAAGCUUAAACUUUUAAUAUGACUGGUGAAUACAAGGAUGAAGGGCAAAGGGAAUUCAGACUCAUGGUGGUCAGAUUAAGACCUUCAGCGGCUCUGUCUCCCAGCCCCACAUACCCACUUCCAUGUUCUGCUCUUUACUGAAGCUGAAAGUCUGCAACCUUCAUUCUCUGACUCCCUUACAUUUUCUUAGGCUUCUUGCUAGCUUCUGCCAAAAAGAGGCCCUGGCAGGAGAUUAGAUGGCAGGAGGCAGAGGUAAGGAUUCCAUGUUAACAGGUGCUGGAAGUUGCUGGUGUGGCAAUGAGAACUGGGCCCCGGUCAAGGCAGCACUACUUUGGUAGAUCCAGAAUCAACCAUGAUAACCGUGACAGUGUCUUCAACAGUGCAGCAGUAGACACAGGCCCCUGGUGCUGGAAUCCAAUACAGGGACAGGAGCAGCACGGAGUCACGGAACACCGUCUUGCCUUCAUGUCACUUUACCAUUUCUUCUUUCUCCCUCUUACUCUACCAGCUACCUGUGGAGAUGUUGAACCUUUUAUCUGUCGCUGUCUGCUUAGGAACAGAAGAAAAGGCAGCUGAUUGCUUGACUCAGCUUUCAGCUUGAUUUUUUUCCUUUGGCAGAGUGAAUUGGGGUCCCAGGUGUUCAUUUUCCUUUUGUAGUACCUUUCCUCAGCAUGCAAUUAAUACAAAAAGAACAAUAAACCUUAACAAAGUUUGGCUUGUAUUA
rnacentral:lncRNA from 1 species